rnacentral:rRNA from 1 species
CUUGCUUCUCUUGAGAGCGGCGGACGGGUGAGUAAUGCCUAGGAAUCUGCCUGGUAGUGGGGGAUAACGUCCGGAAACGGACGCUAAUACCGCAUACGUCCUACGGGAGAAAGCAGGGGACCUUCGGGCCUUGCGCUAUCAGAUGAGCCUAGGUCGGAUUAGCUAGUUGGUGGGGUAAUGGCUCACCAAGGCGACGAUCCGUAACUGGUCUGAGAGGAUGAUCAGUCACACUGGAACUGAGACACGGUCCAGACUCCUACGGGAGGCAGCAGUGGGGAAUAUUGGACAAUGGGCGAAAGCCUGAUCCAGCCAUGCCGCGUGUGUGAAGAAGGUCUUCGGAUUGUAAAGCACUUUAAGUUGGGAGGAAGGGCAGUAAAUUAAUACUUUGCUGUUUUGACGUUACCGACAGAAUAAGCACCGGCUAACUCUGUGCCAGCAGCCGCGGUAAUACAGAGGGUGCAAGCGUUAAUCGGAAUUACUGGGCGUAAAGCGCGCGUAGGUGGUUCGUUAAGUUGGAUGUGAAAUCCCCGGGCUCAACCUGGGAACUGCAUUCAAAACUGACGAGCUAGAGUAUGGUAGAGGGUGGUGGAAUUUCCUGUGUAGCGGUGAAAUGCGUAGAUAUAGGAAGGAACACCAGUGGC